ensembl:lncRNA
UAUAUAUAUAUAUAUAUAUAUUUAUCUUCAGUACAAGAAAGAAAAAAAAAAAGAAUGCAAAGGAUCCAAAUGACAAUGACGCCAACUAUACAUCAAAUUACUGAGGCUUUGCUUCUUUACAAAAUUAUAUUUCUUUAAAAAAAAUUUUAUUGUUAUUAAUUGGCAAAUUUUCUGUUCUGUAAAUCCUCCUGAUUGGCAUAACAUUUAAAAAAAAAAAAAAAAAAAAAAAAAAAAAAAAAAGAUUUUUUAAAAUUAUAUAUUUAAAUAGAGAUAAUUUGGUCUUUGCGUUCUUCAUUAGAUGUGUGUGUGUGUGUGUGUGUGUGUGUGUGGGAAAAAAAAGGUUCUACCACUAGGGUUUAUGUAUUUUAUUCUAUUCUUGAUCUUUUAUGAUAAACACCAGUAAACAAACCAGGAAGGUGAACCAAAAAAAUAAAUAAAUAAUAAUAAUAAUAAUAAUUUAAAUAAUAAAUCAAUUAAAACAUUUUUAAAAAGAGGGGCCCGAAUGACUUUCGGUAUCCUACAGCUCAGUUUUGCGGGUUGUUGCAGCUCUAAUGCAUACGAUGUGCAGCUUUCUGUUCUGAGGAUCCACCAAAACGUUCAUAAUGUUCGUACAUGUGUCAUGUGUCAUGUGUGUAAGCUCACUGUGUCCCAGAUUCUUUCAUUCUUUUUAUUAUUAUUUUUUUACUUCCAGGCCUUGAUUGACUAAGAUCCAAAAUAACAAGAGCUAAUUUAUACAUUGCGUGUGGAAAUAUUCGGCUUGUUGCGGGUCACCGAGGGAACUGCAUCGUAUGCAAAUUCGAUGGGAGGAGACGAUAUGUCAACGUUUGCAUUCGACUAAAACCCGCGACACGGGAUUCCCGUACUCCGACUCGGAAAAGCCGAAGAGAACGCUCCCUCGAGACCCCGAGUUCAGCAAGUGACAUCAAAUCAAAAUGGCCGCUCACAGAAUCAGCAGUAAACACAGCGAGUUAUACUAUACCAUACUAUACUAUACUAUACUAUACUAUACUAGAUACACGUAUCAGCUUUAGAUCAAUCCAUACACCGACAUGUUCGCCUGUUAAAUCCUUAACACUCACUCUACAGUUUAGCGUUACCUGGCUAACCUACUCGCUAACAAAAGACAUCAUGUAAGCGUCCAAGUUUUUUUUUUUUUUUUUUUUUUUUUAAUUUUAUUUGUUUGUUUGGUCGAACGCAGCAUUUGCGCACAGAUCUCAAAGGAAGAAAAAAAACAUAUAUACUCCAAACUCAAGCGAAAAAAAAACAUACGAUAUUGCUAAUCCUAUACAGAUAUAAACACAUUAUCACGAUAUAGUUCAUGUGAAUGAAAAUCUUUUCAUUCAAAGGUUCUGUUGAAAUGUUGGUUAGAAUCUUACACGGUAUGCGAUAACGCCAUCAUCAACGUCGCCCCUGCAAUCCGAGGUCGGAGUCGGAGAAAAUGUCCGAUUAUUCUACUAAGGUAAAAUUUAGAUCGACUUUCUUACAUUAUUACGAUUUAGUAAACGGUAAUAAAAGCAGAAACGGGCUCCUGUAUAUUUAAUACCUGCUCUUCGUGUGACGAUUUCUUGCGUGCGUGUAAUCGCUGUUCCAAAAGCGAUUUUCAUGUUCAGUAAAUUAUUAUUAUUAUUAUUUUUUUUUUUUUUUAAUCACUUUGUGGGUGUAAAAUGAAUCGAUUAUGUUGUAUUUUAUUAAACACCAACCGAUAUCUCGCAGCGUCGGCUGUCGGUCGAUCGGCGUGUAGGGUUUUCUUGUGCGUUAUCAAGUGUGCAGAUGUUCUUAGUCGAUCAGGGCCUCUCUUUGAAUUCCCGUUUGCUUGAAUUCUUCAUUUAUUUUUUUUUGAAACUAUCUGCAAUCGUUAACAGAAGGAACGUUUCUGGUCACCGUCUGUGAAUUUGAGCCGAAACAGCUCUCGAGAACUACGGAAUUUUUACACAUUGUUGAAUUUUUUAUUUUUUUUAUCCAUUUUAAAAAUCGGUUACAAACACAACUCCUAAUCCGAUGUCUAGUAAGGCUCGUGGCGAAAGGGAAUGAGAAACCACAAGCUUUCGCACCGUUCGACACUACGAUAUGGAUUCACGAGGAGAGGAUCCGAUAUUUGGCGAUACGAUUCGAUUUAGUUCGAUUCCUCCCACUGAUAAGUGACUCACUUUGUUCAGAAUCUGGCGUAGACCUGCCGUUAACUGGCAAAUGACGACGACGACGACGUAGAGCAGGAUCAUUAUUUAUAAAGUAUGUAUUCAUAAAUCAGAACGAUCCUUUUAACACGCCGUCCUUUUUUUCCGUAAUCAUCGCUUUACGAUUCUCGCUUCGACUCGAAUCGACGGCCGCCUUUUAACGCACCGAUCCGAUCGGUCCGAUCGCUACGCCCCUCCCGAUCUAAUCGGCAUUUCCGAAUCAGAGAUUUGGCAUCGAGGGCGAAUUUUUCCCAGUGAAAGAGCAAAAACACGUUUUACUAAACGAACAUAACGUGCCCGAUGUCAUUAUCACCCUUUACUCAUGUGUGGAGUAAACAUUAUGGAAAUGAAGAAUGGCAGUUAUGAUUAUGGGAUUACGGCGUCGAAGCCCCGAGCGAUCGCCAUCAUCUUAUUAACACGCUCCAUUUGAGGAGUCGUUUAGGAGCUGAGACGUACGUAGAUACGGGACGCUUUAUAGAGCGAACGUGUUACAGGAGAGCUUACAGCGUAUUCAUUUACUUUUCGUUUUUCAGGAGUAAUUAAAAAACGUGAUACUGUGGUGUGUGUGUGUGUGUGUUGUGUGUGUGUGUGUGUGUGUGUGUGUGUGUGUUUGAUUGCUGCGUUGCUACUACUUAAAGUAAUUAAAAAACCCAACUGCCUGAGAUAAAAUCCAAAUCGUAGCAAGCUGGAAGCAGGCAGGUCCUAUUUUUCAUAAUAAUUUUAAUUGUGUGUGGAAGAUCGUCUUUUUUUUCUUUUUUCUUCACUAACACGGUUGCUUACGUCGUUAACGAGAAGUCGUACGAUAAGCAGGACUUGAGUUUUACUUCAUUGUUUGUUUGUUUUUUUUUUUAAUUAAGACAACGUAACUGUUUGAGUAGAAAGAUUUGGAGUGGUCAUGAACGCAUUAAGCAUGAUUAAAUUCUUUUGAUUACUUAUUUGUUGUGGGGUUGUUUUGUUUUUUUAGUUUGCUUUUCUUUACUUGCCUUACAGCUUGUAAGAUCUUUACUCCUCCACAAAAUAUGUUAUUCAUGUGUCUAAUUCAAUAUAUACAAUAAUCUUUUAAUAUUACCGUCAUAUAUUGGUUGAUUUUUAUUUGUAUUUUUUUUUUUUAUGUUACAAUUUUAAUUUUUUUUUGUUGUUGUUAUUGGAUUCGCUGAUGUUCGUAACGUCCACUCUGGGGGGGCAAAAAAAAAAAAAAAAAAAAAAAAAAUUAAACCGGUUUGGCUCACUUUUUGUGAGAACUGAGAUCUCAUCUCAUUGAUUGAUUGACUGAUUGUUUUUGCUCCCCCCUCUACUAUACAUUGUUGGUUUGGUUUUAUUUUGUUUUAAUGGUCAUGUUAAUGAGGGGGGAAAAAAAAAGAAAAAAAAAAAAAAAAAAAAAAAGGAUCCUGGCACAUUCUAUGCAAAAUGUAGAGAGCAUUUAUUAAUGCGAAGAAUUCUGUCCGCUGUCUGUACUAAAUUUAUUAUACUUUAUGUGUACAGUUUGUAUUUAUGAACUGGGUUGCAAUCGAAACUGUAUUAAUAAACCUAUUUCAAAAAAAAAAAAAAAAAAAAAAAAAAAAGUGUAGUGACGUCAACGAGUGAUCACAGAAACAAAAUUUAAUCAAAUCAAAUAAACACUUUGAAAUUCACAAAGGACGAAAAUGAAG